GGUGUUGGAAGAGUUUGCAAUAUUUAUUACCUCUACCACUUGACUGCAAGUUGCAAAUAAUUAGUAAGAUCACAAGUCUCUGUUUAAAUGUAUCAUUUAUAUUGAAUAGUUGAAUCAGUCCCUUACUCUAGUGACUUUGAUAAUAACAUAAAGUAAAAUAAAAUAUCUAUAAAACUUGUGUUAAACAUCUUGAUUCAUCAGUUUAUCCUUAAUAGCAUAGUCCGGAUUGGAUUCAUCUUUAACAACACCAAUUCUAAUGCAUUCAUGUAAUAGUAAUUGUGUUUCUUUAUCUGAGCCAAUAAACAAACUUAUUAUAAUCUCCUCUCGGGGAAUUUGGGAAUACAUAUAUACAACAUAUGUCUAAUGAUCCUUAUCUAUGUACUAGAAUCUAAUGGAGCAUAAAAGGUUCGAUGAUGCUGAUAAAUAUUCUGGUACGUUGUUUUUAAAGAGCAUCAUAGUAACCUCCAACUGUUUUGUGUGCUCACUGCUGCAAUUGCUCCAUUCAAUUUUGUUGCAUGGUCGACUACUUGCUUUAUCCUCUGCAAUCCCACGUAAAAUUUAAUUAAGAAAAAAAGAUUCUUAGAUAAGAUCCACCAAAAAUUAGUUUUUGAUUUAAAAGUUAACGCUGCUAAAAAGAAAAAAGUAUAAUUUGAUGCACUAAAUUUUUGUUUUGCGGAUUCUAUUCAAUCACAACUGGUCUUAUCUUGCAUUUUAACAAGAGGUCCAUGAUACACAUUUAGUUACUUAAAUGGAGUAUGUCUCAAGAUUUGAUUCUUUUUCAUUGGUCAAACAUAUUAAAAUAUUUUAUUACUUUUUUGGGGCCAUAAAAUCUGAUGAAAUAUUCCUGCAAUUCAACAUAAUAUUGGAGGAGAUAAUAGUCCUGUUCCAAAAGACAAUCUUAGCAAAAAAUUUAAUUAUUAAAGACGCGUCUUUUAUUAAUUAAUUAUAACAUGUCACUGAAUUUUGAAGAUCAAACCUUGUCAUCCGAAAAGAUUUGAAACCGAAGCUUGUGCUGAUUUUGCUUAUUGUUUUGAUGAUUGCCCAUAAAAAUGAUGCAAAUAGUAGCAGCAGCGGCAACCCCAAAAGAGCAAAUAGCACCAAUUCCAUUCAAACUCUUGUUCAACAGGUUCAAUCCACCACGGUUUUCUUCAAUAUUCUCUGCUUCAAUUCCAAUUUUCUCUUCAUCCACCUCCAGCACUUGUGCUUGUUCCUCAAACUGGAAAGUGUCUGCAUCAGCUUGGGACAAAAGGGUCUUGUUAUUGGACUUUGGUGAGUCCAUUUUCAUGUCGUCGAAUUCACUUUCCUUCAUUUUCUUGAAGAAAACUUGUGUGACUUGAUCUUCAUCUUGCUCAGCUUCCAUCAUACAAUUCUCACAAAUGUUUUUCGAGUUGUCCUCAUGAUGAUCAUUUGCGGUUUCUUGAAUACUUGGCUCCAGCUGAAUUGGAAAAGGUACUAUUUGAGGAUGUUUUGUUGAGUCAACAAAUUGUGAUGAUUCUGGACAAGGGAAAACGAAAUAUUUCAUGUCGAAAUCAUCCUUGGAGAAGUUCAUCUUGCCUCUAUCAUCGUGUAUUUGGAGGAAUCCAUCAUCAGGAAGAAGCUCCCAAUCUUCAAGAUCCAUUUAUUUCAUCUAAUGAACAUAAGGGAUAGAAGAGUGGGUUCAUAUAGCUAGCUCUGGGAUUCUGAUUCUUUGGUUGUCGAAUUAUUGGAGUAAGAGAGGGUAGCUUUCAUAUAUGCAGCCAUUUGGUACAUGUCUUCUUGCUCUAUGGGAAGUGAACAACUUGGCUUCAAUGAGAUUGUGAUGGAUUUUCUUUUUACUUGUCUAAUUAUUCGAUAUCUCAACUUACUGCAC
rnacentral:lncRNA from 1 species